CACAUAAUACGUCAUAAAAUUGAUUUUUUUUUAAAAAAACCUUCAAUUUAAAUAUCCAUGGACAAAAUACUGAAAUAACUUUUUGCUUAAACCAGUCAAGCUUGGCGUCCGGAAAAUUAUGAAAUAAAUACACCUCAUAUUUUAUUAUUUUUGCAUAUUAUCCCAUAAAAUUGAAUUUUCAAAUCUUUCAAUUUAAAUAUCCAUGGAUAAAAUACUGAAAUAAAUCUUUACUUAAAAUCAUCAAGCUGGACAUCCAUCAAAUGUUAUGAAAUAAAUCCCCCUCAUAUUUUACCAUCGAACUA
rnacentral:lncRNA from 1 species